rnacentral:rRNA from 1 species
ACGGGUGAGGAACACAUCGGAAUCUGCCCGGUUGUGGGGGAUAACGUAGGGAAACUUACGCUAAUACCGCAUACGAUCGAGAGAUGAAAGCGGGGGACCGUAAGGCCUCGCGCAGUCGGAUGAGCCGAUGUCGGAUUAGCUAGUUGGUGGGGUAAAGGCCUACCAAGGCGACGAUCCGUAGCUGGUCUGAGAGGAUGAUCAGCCACACUGGGACUGAGACACGGCCCAGACUCCUACGGGAGGCAGCAGUGGGGAAUAUUGGACAAUGGGGGCAACCCUGAUCCAGCAAUGCCGCGUGUGUGAAGAAGGCCUUCGGGUUGUAAAGCACUUUUAUCCGGAACGAAACGUGUCGGGUUAACAGCCCGGCAAACUGACGGUACCGGAGGAAUAAGCACCGGCUAACUUCGUGCCAGCAGCCGCGGUAAUACGAAGGGUGCAAGCGUUACUCGGAAUUACUGGGCGUAAAGGGUGCGUAGGUGGUUUGUUAAGUCUGCUGUGAAAUCCCCGGGCUCAACCUGGGAAUGGCAGUGGAUACUGGCAAGCUGGAGUGCGGUAGAGGGUAGUGGAAUUCCCGG